GGCUGGUCCAAAGGUGGUGAGUUAUCUGAAUUAAUUGUUCACAGUCAGUUACAGAUUGAACUCCUUGUUCUACCCUUUCUCCCCUUCUCACUCCUUCACCUGACUGGUCUAAA
rnacentral:Y_RNA from 1 species